CAGCUUUGUCCAAAAUGUCCCCUUUUACUAAACUACAAACUGAAAUGUUUAAUUUACCUUAGAACUAAAGAUUUACUCAAGCCUAGCUAUCAGGGUGGACAUUGAUUAAAAUAAGUAAUAAUAAAAUAGGACAUAAUUAAUUAAAGUCUAUUUGUUUCAUUUGACUUUAGGGAGGCACUCUAAGCCACCUACGGGCCAUCUUUGGGAGUUACAUUGAUAAUACAUUGUUUAUAACAGAUAGAAGUAGGAUUGCUUACCCUAUUUUAAUAUAUUUAUUGCUAUAAGGUUUUAUUUUAUGUAUAAAUAUAUUAAAAGUUGAGUUUUCUUAUUAGACCCAUAAAGAUUAUUUUGAUACAAUUACCCUCUGGUGACACCUACUGGUAGGUUUUUGGUUUAACACUUUAAACAAAAAAGUUUUUUCAUCCACCAAAUACCGACUAAUAAAAUUAGCUCACCCCCUUACACCUAUCUUACUACUCCUAGACUGGAACCUAUUAUUGAGCAGCCUUGCCGAAGUCCCAUAUUAGAUACUGUUUGAGUCAAAUAGAUUGUACACUCCUUUCAAUCCUGAAAACUUCCGAAUGAUAGACUCAGCAUUUGUCAGCCAGGCCCAAGGUGAUAUUAAAAGGAAAUUACAGAAAUUAGAGGGAUUUGUAGGGAUGUCCAUAAUACAGCUAAUGGAGAUUGCAAAUACAGUAUAUAUGAAUAGGGAGACGGAGGAAGAAC